GAUGAACGCUGGCGGCGUGCUUAACACAUGCAAGUCGAACGGAAAGGCCCUGCUCUUGUGGGGUGCUCGAGUGGCGAACGGGUGAGUAACACGCGAGUAACCUGCCCUUGACUUUGGGAUAACUUCAGGAAACUGGGGCUAAUACCGGAUAGGAGCUCCUGCUGCACGGGGGGGGUUGGAAAGUGACGGCGGUUGGGGAUGUACUCGCGGGUUAUCCGCUUGUUUGUGUGGUAGUGGCUUCCCAAGGGUUUGACGGGUAGCCGGCCUGGGAGGGUGACCGGGCUCAUGGGGCCUGAGGUAGGGACCAGAAUGCAACGGGCGGCAGCAGGGGGAAACAUUGCAGAGUGGGGGGAAGCCUGAUACGGAAACCCCGCGUGCGGAAUGACGGCCUUCGGGUUGUAAACCAAUUUCGCCUGUAACGAAGCGUGAGUGACGGUAAUGGGUAAAGAAGCACCGGCUAACUACGUG
rnacentral:rRNA from 1 species